rnacentral:rRNA from 17 species
AAAUUGAAGAGUUUGAUCAUGGCUCAGAUUGAACGCUGGCGGCAGGCCUAACACAUGCAAGUCGAACGGUAGCACAGAGAGCUUGCUCUCGGGUGACGAGUGGCGGACGGGUGAGUAAUGUCUGGGAAACUGCCUGAUGGAGGGGGAUAACUACUGGAAACGGUGGCUAAUACCGCAUAACGUCGCAAGACCAAAGAGGGGGACCUUCGGGCCUCUUGCC